GUUCGAAAGGGAAACAGCCCAGACCACCAGCUAAGGUCCCAAAAUAUAUGUUAAGUGGAAAAGGAUGUGGCGUUGCCCAGACAACUAGGAUGUUGGCUUAGAAGCAGCCAUCAUUUAAAGAGUGCGUAAUAGCUCACUAGUCGAGUGACACUGCGCCGAAAAUGUACCGGGGCUAAACAUAUUACCGAAGCUGUGGAUUGUCCUUUGGACAAUGGUAGGAGAGCGUUCUAAGGGCGUUGAAGCAUGAUCG
rnacentral:rRNA from 1 species